UGGCGAACGGGUGAGUAACGCGUGAGGAACCUGCCUCAAAGAGGGGGACAACAGUUGGAAACGACUGCUAAUACCGCAUAAGCCCACGGGUCGGCAUCGACCUGAGGGAAAAGGAGCAAUCCGCUUUGAGAUGGCCUCGCGUCCGAUUAGCUAGUUGGUGAGGUAACGGCCCACCAAGGCGACGAUGGAUAGGGGUUCUGAGAGGAAGGUCCCCCACAUUGGUACUGAGACACGGACCAA
rnacentral:rRNA from 1 species